rnacentral:rRNA from 1 species
GACGAACGCUGGCGGCGUGCCUAAUACAUGCAAGUAGAACGAGUAGCGAACGGGUGAGUAACGCGUGGUAACCUGCCUCAUCGCGGGGGAUAACUAUUGGAAACGAUAGCUAAUAACGCAUAUUGUGAGAUGGACCUGCGUUGUAUUAGCUAGUUGGUGAGGUAAAGGCUCACCAAGGCGACGAUACCUAGCCGACCGGAGAGGGUGAUCGGCCACACUGGUACUGAGACACGGCCCAGAUGCCUACGGGAGGCAGCAGUGGGGAAUAUUGCACAAUGGGCGCAAGCCUGAUGCAGCCAUGCCGAGUGUAUGAAGAAGGCCUUCGGGUUGUAAAGUACUUUCAGCGGGGAGGCGUUACCCGCAGAAGAAGCACCGGCUAACUCCGUGCCAGCAGCCGCGGUAAUUC